rnacentral:rRNA from 1 species
AUUCCUACGGGACGCAGCAGUGAGGGAUAUUGGUCAAUGGGGGAAACCCUGAACCAGCAACGCCGCGUGAGGGAAGACGGUUUUCGGAUUGUAAACCUCUGUCCUCUGUGAAAAAAAUGACUGUACCUGAAGAAGAAGCACCGGCUAACUACGUGCCAGCAGCCGCGGUAAUACGUAGGGUGCAAGCGUUAUCCGGAUUUACUGGGUGUAAAGGGCGAGUAGACGGCGUUGCAAGUCAGAUGUGAAAGGCUAGGGCUCAACCUUAGGAGAGCAUCUGAAACUGUAAUGCUAGAGUGCAGGAGAGG